rnacentral:rRNA from 1 species
CGGAGGGAAACCGAGUCUUAAUUGGGCGUUAAGUUGCAGGGUAUAGACCCGAAACCCGGUGAUCUAGCCAUGGGCAGGUUGAAGGUUGGGUAACACUAACUGGAGGACCGAACCGACUAAUGUUGAAAAAUUAGCGGAUGACCUGUGGCUGGGGGUGAAAGGCCAAUCAAACCGGGAGAUAGCUGGUUCUCCCCGAAAGCUAUUUAGGUAGCGCCUCGUGAAUUCAUCUCCGGGGGUAGAGCACUGUUUCGGCUAGGGGGCCAUCCCGGCUUACCAACCCGAUGCAAACUGCGAAUACCGGAGAAUGUUAUCACGGGAGACACACGGCGGGUGCUAACGUCCGUCGUGAAGAGGGAAACAACCCAGACCGCCAGCUAAGGUCCCAAAGUCAUGGUUAAGUGGGAAACGAUGUGGGAAGGCCCAGACAGCCAGGAUGUUGGCUUAGAAGCAGCCAUCAUUUAAAGAAAGCGUAAUAGCUCACUGGUCGAGUCGGCCUGCGCGGAAGAUGUAACGGGGCUAAACCAUGCACCGAAGCUGCGGCAGCGACGCUGAUGCGUUGUUGGGUAGGGGAGCGUUCUGUAAGCCUGUGAAGGUGUGUCGUGAGGCAUGCUGGAGGUAUCAGAAGUGCGAAUGCUGACAUAAGUAACGAUAAAGCGGGUGAAAAGCCCGCUCGCCGGAAGACCAAGGGUUCCUGUCCAACGUUAAUCGGGGCAGGGUGAGUCGACCCCUAAGGCGAGGCCGAAAGGCGUAGUCGAUGGGAAACGGGUUAAUAUUCCCGUACUUGGUGUUACUGCGAAGGGGGGACGGAGAAGGCUAUGUUGGCCGGGCGACGGUUGUCCCGGUUUAAGCGUGUAGGUGUGUGUUCCAGGUAAAUCCGGUUCACUUUAACACUGAGGCGUGACGACGAGGCACUACGGUGCUGAAGCAACAAAUGCCCUGCUUCCAGGAAAAGCCUCUAAGCAUCAGGUAACAUCAAAUCGUACCCCAAACCGACACAGGUGGUCAGGUAGAGAAUACCAAGGCGCUUGAGAGAACUCGGGUGAAGGAACUAGGCAAAAUGGUGCCGUAACU